rnacentral:rRNA from 1 species
GACAGAGGGUGCAAACGUUGUUCGGAAUUACUGGGCGUAAAGGGCUCGUAGGCGGCCAACUAAGUCGGACGUGAAAUCCCUCGGCUUAACCGGGGAACUGCGUCUGAUACUGGAUGGCUUGAAUCCGGGAGAGGGAUGCGGAAUUCCAGGUGUAGCGGUGAAAUGCGUAGAUAUCUGGAGGAACACCGGUGGCGAAGGCGGCAUCCUGGACCGGCAUUGACGCUGAGGAGCGAAAGCCAGGGGAGCAAACGGG